rnacentral:misc_RNA from 1 species
GAUGAAGAACGCAGCGAAAUGCGAUACGUAAUGUGAAUUGCAGAAUUCAGUGAAUCAUCGAAUCUUUGAACGCAUAUUGCGCUCUUUGGUAUUCCGAAGAGCAUGCUUGUUUGAGUAUCAGUAAACACCUCAACCUCUUCUUGAUUUUUCAAAAGGAGGGUGGACUUGAGCUAUCCCAACAACCUUUACCGGUCGGCGGGCGGCUUGAAAUGCAGGUGCAGCUGGACUUUUAUCUGAGCUAAAAGCAUAUCUAUUUAGUCCUCGUCAAACAGGAUUAUUACUUUUGCUGCAGCUAACAUAAAGGAUAAUUGUCCUCUUCGCUGACUGAUGCAGGAUUUUACGACACUUUAUGUGUUGUUCAACUCGAUCUCAAAUCAAGUAAGACUACCCGCUGAACUUAAGCAUAUCAAUAAGCGGAGGA